rnacentral:rRNA from 1 species
AUACAGAGGGUGCAAGCGUUAAUCGGAAUUACUGGGCGUAAAGCGCGCGUAGGCGGUUACGUAAGUCGGGUGUGAAAGCCCCGGGCUCAACCUGGGAAUUGCAUUCGAAACUGCGUAGCUAGAGUCUGAUAGAGGGAAGUGGAAUUUCCGGUGUAGCGGUGAAAUGCGUAGAUAUCGGAAGGAACAUCAGUGGCGAAGGCGACUUCCUGGAUCAAGACUGACGCUCAGGUGCGAAAGCGUGGGGAGCAAACAGGAUUAGAAACCCCGGUAGUCC